CGCCUCCCCAACCCCCCUCAACCAACAAAUCCACCGCCGCCCCCCCUGCCGCGCGCGCGCCCUCCCUGACUCCUGCGCAGCCGCCACCGGGAGGGAGGGGGGAGGGGGCAGGCUCUGCGCGAGGCCUACUAGGCCGCGCCGGAGCCAGGGCCUCGCGUGAAUGCCCGGGCAGGCAGAGUGAAGUAGUAGACGCUCAUGCGGGUCUACGAGAGGCCGAGGCUCCAGAAUAGGGCCGGAGUCCGCCAAGAAGGAUGUCACGAGUGGAAGAAGAAGCUAUUGCCGGCGGCGGAGCAGAAGAUUUUAAGCUUACCUGGAGGCGCGAGUCGACUGAGGGGAAAAGGGGAGCGGGCGGGAAGGGGAAGGGCGGGAGGCCGGGGGCGGAACAAUAGGGGCGGGCGGGAAGGCGAGGGGGGCCCCGCUAGCGGGCGGAGGAGGGGGGGGUGAGGAGGAGGAAGGGGGAGAGAGACCCCGGGGCGGGUGGAGGGCGGCGGAGGGCGGGCGGGCGGGCGGAGGGCGGGCGGGCGGGAGAGGGCGCAGGCUGCGGCUGCUCCGGCUGCUGCCUCUGCUGGUCUGGGAGGGGGACGGGGCGGAGCGGGCCGCUUUCAACCCCGCGCACCCUUCGACCCCGGAAGCGCUAACCGCCCCGGGGGCCGGCGAGUCGACUGCGUCGUCCACACUUUCCCCACGCAAUGCGGACCGCCUUCCCGGAGCCUAGAGCGGCUCCUUGGACAGCGUCGGCACCAGCGAGACGGCCAGUAACCAGCGGCGAGGUCUGAGAUAGAGCGGCAGCGCAGAGGCGCGGAGGAUACCAGUGGCCUCUAGCGGAAGAACUGGAAAGCUCAGGCCUAAAUACGAAGAGGAACGAAAGAACAAGUUAAACAUCAGUACAAGAAGGUACUCUGUGGCCAAGCACAGUGUGUGAUACAAGCUGAUACCAUUGGGGAACUUAAGGAUGACAAAGGUGAACCUCAGGCCACCUUGGACUGUAGAGCAACGCUGCUUUAUUGUUGCCUGUUGCUCCUUAAAAAAAAAAAAAAAAAAAAAAAAAAAAGACAUCUUGAAAACACAGAAUUUUGUACACAACACAAGACAACUAUCCUGGUGUCUUUAAAAAGGCAAUAAACCUUUUUUUAAACGGUU